UUCCUGACGGUCCAGUGGCUAAGACUCUGUGUUCCUAAAGCAUGGGGCCCAGGUUCAAUCCCUGGUCAGGAAA
rnacentral:tRNA from 1 species